rnacentral:rRNA from 1 species
AUUGAACGCUGGCGGCAGGCCUAACACAUGCAAGUCGAGCGAGCGGCGGACGGGUGAGUAAUGUAUGGGGACUGCCCGAUAGAGGGGGAUAACUACUGGAAACGGUGGCUAAUACCGCAUACUAUCGGAUAACCCAUAUGGGAUUAGCUAGUAGGUGGGGUAAAGGCUCACCUAGGCGACGAUGUCUAGCUGGUCUGAGAGGAUGAUCACCCACACUGGGCCGGAGACACGGCCCAGACUCCUACGGAGGCAGCAGUGGGUAAUAUUGUACAAUGGGCGCAAGCCUGAUGCAGCCAUGCCCCGUGUAUGAAGAAGGCCUUCGGGUUGUAAACCGCUUUCAGCCAUGACUCGGUAGUGGCAGAAGAAGCACCGGCUAACUACGUGCCAGCAGCCGCGGUAAUAC